rnacentral:lncRNA from 1 species
AGCUGGACGCGGGUCAUGAGGUUCUGGAGGAAGAGGGCGUCCACCGGCGAAGCGGAGGUGGCGUGGCUAUUUCCCGCCGCAGCGGCGGUUGCUGCGGAGGUGUCGUGGCCAUUGCCCGCCGCAGCGGCGGUUGCUGCGGAGGUGGGGUGCCGGGCAGGAGGAGGCGGCGGCGAAGCCAUGGGCGCCGUGGUAGGGUUUUGGGUUUGGGGGUUGCGUUGCCUGUGGUUGUGGUCGUGUGGAAGCAGGGCUGCAGGUUGGGGACUUGGGGAUUGGGG